rnacentral:tRNA from 1 species
GGGCCCAUAGCUCAGUCCGGUCAGAGCGCUUCCCUGAUAAGGAAGAGGUCCCUGGUUCAAGUCCAGGUGGGCCCA